rnacentral:rRNA from 1 species
CCCUUAGAUGUUCUGGGCCGCACACGCGCUACACUGAAGGAGGCAGCGUGUACUCCUGGAUCGAAAGAUUUGGGUAACCCGCGAAUCUCCUUCGUGCUAGGGAUUGAGGUUUGCAAUUAUCCUUCAUGAACGAGGAAUUCCCAGUAAGUGCAAGUCAUAAGCUUGCGCUGACUACGUCCCUGCCCUUUGUACACACCGCCCGUCGCUACUACCGAUUGAAUGGUCCGGUGAAAUUCUCGGACGACGCCAGGGAAUGUUAAUUCGGCACCUGGUGUUGAAAGUUAAUUAAACCUUACCAUUUAGAGGAAGGUGAANUCGUANCA